rnacentral:rRNA from 1 species
CCUACGAGUGGCAGCAGUGGGGAAUAUUGCGCAAUGGGCGAAAGCCUGACGCAGCGACGCCGCGUGAGGGAUGAAGGUCUUCGGAUCGUAAACCUCUGUCAGCAGGGAAGAACGGUCACUGUGCUAAUCAGCAGUGAAUUGACGGUACCUGCAAAGGAAGCACCGGCUAACUCCGUGCCAGCAGCCGCGGUAAUCCGGAGGGUGCGAGCGGUAAUAGGAAUUACUGGGCGUAAAGCGCUCGUAGGCGGUAUGGCAAGUCAAGGGUGAAAUCCCCGCGCUCAACGAGGGAACGGCCGUUGAAACGGGCAAACUGGAGUGUGUGAGAGGAUAGUGGAAUUCCAGGUGUAGGAGUGAAAGCCGUAGAUAUCUGGAGGAACAUCAGUGGCGAAGGCGACUAUCUGGCACAUAACUGACGCUGAGGAGCGAAAGCGUGGGUAGCAAACAGGAUUAGAUACCCGAGUAGUC